GUGAGUGAUGAAGGCUUUCGGGUCGUAAAACUCUGUUGUUAGGGAAGAACAAGUGCUAGUUGAAUAAGCUGGCACCUUGACGGUACCUAACCAGAAAGCCACGGCUAACUACGUGCCAGCAGCCGCGGUAAUACGUAGGUGGCAAGCGUUAUCCGGAAUUAUUGGGCGUAAAGCGCGCGCAGGUGGUUUCUUAAGUCUGAUGUGAAAGCCCACGGCUCAACCGUGGAGGGUCAUUGGAAACUGGGAGACUUGAGUGCAGAAGAGGAAAGUGGAAUUCCAUGUGUAGCGGUGAAAUGCGUAGAGAUAUGGAGGAACACCAGUGGCGAAGGCGACUUUCUGGUCUGUAACUGACACUGAGGCGCGAAAGCGUGGGGAGCAAACAGGAUUAGAUACCCUGGUAGUCCACGCCGUAAACGAUGAGUGCUAAGUGUUAGAGGGUUUCCGCCCUUUAGUGCUGAAGUUAACGCAUUAAGCACUCCGCCUGGGGAGUACGGCCGCAAGGCUGAAACUCAAAGGAAUUGACGGGGGCCCGCACAAGCGGUGGAGCAUGUGGUUUAAUUCGAAG
rnacentral:rRNA from 1 species